CCCCUCCAAUUGGUCAUUGCUUCUUAAUUGGCCACCCAUGGCAACAGGAAUCCAUAAACCGGAAAAAUAUACCAAAUCUCCUAAUACUUGAGUUAGCUUACAAAGUUUUUCUGUUCUGUCAAGACACAAAACUUGAGACUUCACUCACACACAUGCUGCAAGUAGCUUUUAAGAGCCUAUGUGUUUCUUCAUCUAAAUCAACAUUAUCUUUCUUCAUACGCUCUGCAACUAUUAGGGGCAUUUUACCUGCGUUUUUAUAAGUUCGUAGAACAGAAUUAUAUAUCUCUGUACUCACAUGGCCAGCUUUCUGAAGCAUAACCAAAAAUUCCUCUGCUUCUUCAACAAUCCCUUUCUCCUCAAGAUUCUUAAAUACUUCUCUAACCAAAAUUUUGUCAGGAUUCCACUUCUUAACACUACUAAUAGCCUUCUUAAAAUAAUCUAAAACUUUAUCCAUCUGCUUUGAUUUCAAAUGACCCCAUGUUAGAAGUUCCCAAGUAGUGUAACAAGGACGGAAGCCGUUUUGCACCAUAUGAUGAUGAAAAUUUUCAGCUUCUUCCAUCUGGUUUCUAUUGACAUAAGCUGCAAGGAGAAUGUUUGGGACCUGGGGAUCACUCCGUCCAGAAACUGACUCCCACUCAGAGUAAAGAUUCUGUGCUUCUUCAAUCUCCUCAAGUUUCACAAGGG
rnacentral:misc_RNA from 1 species